rnacentral:lncRNA from 1 species
UGUCCCGGGGCUGGAAUCCCGCUUGGCCCAAUGCUCAGGGAAACGAAGCAGCUCAAUAAAAACGUUUGAUAUUAGUUUUUAUAGGCAUUUACACUCCGGUGAGGGGGCCCGAGGACGGAAGCUCUACUAAUCAGCCCCCAGCCUUCGGUUUGGAUGCUUGGUUUAU